rnacentral:rRNA from 1 species
CCUACGGGAGGCAGCAGUGAGGAAUAUUGGUCAAUGGACGAGAGUCUGAACCAGCCAAGUAGCGUGAAGGAUGACUGUCCUAUGGGUUGUAAACUUCUUUUAUAUGGGAAUAAAAUGUUCCACGUGUGGGCUUUUGUAUGUACCAUAUGAAUAAGGAUCGGCUAACUCCGUGCCAGCAGCCGCGGUAAUACGGAGGAUCCGAGCGUUAUCCGGAUUUAUUGGGUUUAAAGGGAGCGUAGGUGGAUUGUUAAGUCAGUUGUGAAAGUUUGGGGCUCAACCGUAAAAUUGCAGUUGAAACUGGGAGUCUUGAGUACGGUAGAGGUGGGCGGAAUGCGUGGUGUAGCGGUGAAAUGCUUAGAUAUCACGAAGAACUCCGAUUGCGAAGGCAGCUGACUGGACUGCAACUGACACUGAGGCUCGAAAGUGUGGGUAUCAAACAGGAUUAGAUACCCUAGUAGUC